UUUUUUUUUGAAGAGCUACGGUACCGGCCAGAACAAACAAGGGUAACACAAACACAAACACAAACACUGGAAAAUGAACAGGAAUGACGUAGAAAGACAUCUAACAAAAAUAAUAAACCAACCGGAAAUAUAUGACAACUCACACAGCCAGAAAAAGAAGCAACACAUGUAUGACCUGAAGCUACUUUCAACGAGAUUCCACAUUUACCAACCAACCAUUAUGCACUCAUUGGAGCAACAAAAAAACUCGCAGAUGGGGAGGGACUGGAUUGCGACAUACCGACAGGCUAGGUGAUUACUCCCUCUGUAAACUAAUAUAAGAGCGUUUACAUCACUCAAGUAGUGAUCUAAACGCUCUUAUAUUAGUUUAUGGAGCCAGACUUCCACAUUGCCCCUUCCCUCUCCUGACCUCCCAGACUUCCACAUAUGCCAUUGCCUCAAUCCUCUCGGUGUCCGCGUGGCCACCUCCCUGCGCCCCUGCCCCUGUUGUUCAAGUUCCUCGGCUGGUAGUACCCAUCGUCGUUGUUGUAGUACCCGCCGN
rnacentral:lncRNA from 1 species